rnacentral:lncRNA from 1 species
GAGGUUCCGAGUUCUUCCAUUUAUCAUUCAUGCCAGUGCAUUUGUACUGUCUGGUCAUUGACGCUAAUCAUUGAUCCAAAAAAUUCGAGUUGUUAGAAAUAUACAAUCAAUUCACUUAAAGCGCGUAGACACAACGCCCACGAAUCUCAAUUGUGACUCGGCCCAACUAGCAUCACGCCACUCAAACAUGACUCGGCCCAACCCAGCCUUCCGCCAUUUCGAACAUAACUCGACUCGACCCGACCUCCCGCCACGGGACAAAAUACUGACCCUCUUUAAGCCAACACGUAUAUGCAAUGAUUCAGCUGAUCUCCUCCAUACAAGU